GAUGAACGCUGGCGGCGUGCUUAACACAUGCAAGUCGAACGAAGCAUCUCGCCCGAAGAAAUGGAGUGCUUGCACAAAGUGGAUUCAAUUGAGAUGACUGAGUGGCGGACGGGUGAGUAACGCGUGGGAAACCUGCCCUAUACAGGGGGAUAACAGUUGGAAACGACUGCUAAUACCGCAUAAGCGCACGAAAUCGCAUGAUUUAGUGUGAAAAACUCCGGUGGUAUAGGAUGGUCCCGCGUCUGAUUAGCUAGUUGGUGAGGUAACGGCCCACCAAGGCGACGAUCAGUAGCCGACCUGAGAGGGUGACCGGCCACAUUGGGACUGAGACACGGCCCAAACUCC
rnacentral:rRNA from 1 species